GAUGAAUGCUGGCGGCGUGCCUAACACAUGCAAGUCGAGCGGCAGCGAGGGGUGCUUGCACCCUGUCGGCGAGCGGCGAACGGCUGAGUAACGCGUAGGAAUUUGCCCCAAAGUGAGGAAUAACUGCCCGAAAGGGUAGCUAAUGCCGCAUAUGGUCUUCGGAUUAAAGGAUUUAUCCGCUUUGGGAGCAGCCUGCGUUGGAUUAGGUUGUUGGUAGGGUAAUGGCCUACCAAGCCGACGAUCCAUAGCUGGUCUGAGAGGAUGAUCAGCCAGACUGGAACUGAGACACGGUCCAGACUCCUACGGGAGGCAGCAGUGAGGAAUCUUCCACAAUGGGCGAAAGCCUGAUGGAGCAACGCCGCGUGAAGGAUGAAGGCCUUCGGGUUGUAAACUUCUUUUAUGAGUGAAGAAUAUGACGGUAACUCGUGAAUAAGCACCGGCUAACUACGUG
rnacentral:rRNA from 1 species